UACGGGGGGAGCAAGCGUUGUUCGGAUUUACUGGGCGUAAAGGGCGCGUAGGCGGCGCAACAAGUCACUUGUGAAAUCUCCGGGCUUAACCCGGAGCGGCCAAGUGAUACUGUCGUGCUAGAGUGCGGAAGGGGCUACUGGAAUUCUCGGUGUAGCGGUGAAAUGCGUAGAUAUCGAGAGGAACACCAGUGGCGAAGGCGACUACCUGGCCCAUUCUUGACGCUGAGGCGCGAAAGCUAGGGGAGCGAACGGGA
rnacentral:rRNA from 1 species